rnacentral:lncRNA from 1 species
CUCCUCUCUUCCACAGGACCUGCAGCAGCUCUGCUCAGCCAGGUUGGACUGCUGGGGCUACAGCUUCCUUCCCCUGUGACUGCCUUUUCCUGACACCCUUAGCAGCCUCCAGUCCCCGUGGUCAGCAGAGACCUUGGCAGGACGAGGAGGAGGAGGCCCGUUGGACCAAUGCUGUGAGGGGUGUGAGGAUUAGAGCUGCCGUCCAUCAUUCCCCUGCCAGAGCGAGAAAGGAGAAUGGAGCUGGAGUGAGGCGGAGGAACCGCCAGCUGCUGACCGGCACGUGGGACGCUGGUGAUUCACGGGUCACUGAGGCUGGACAACGUUCAUGGCUCUCGGGUAG